rnacentral:rRNA from 1 species
GACGAACGCUGGCGGCGUGCUUAACACAUGCAAGUCGAACGGAAAGGCCUUGAGCUUGCUGCGUGUACUCGAGGCGCGAACGGGUGAGUAACACGUGUAUGAUCUCCCUUACACUUGGGGAUAAUCUGGGAAAAGGGGCUCAUAUACCGUAUAGGACCCCGCUGCAUGGUGGGUGGUGGAAAGUUUUUUCGGUUGAGGAUGGGCUCGCGGCCUAUCAGCUUGUUGGUGGGGUAGUGGCCUACCAAGGCGUCGACGGGUAGCCGGCCUGAGAGGGUGUCCGGCCACAUUGGGACUGAGAUACGGCCCAGACUCCUACGGGAGGCAGCAGUGGGGAAUAUUGCACAAUGGGCGGAAGCCUGAUGCAGCAACGCCGCGUGCGGGAUGAAGGCCUUCGGGUUGUAAACCCCUUUCGACUGGGACGAAGCGUUUGUGACGGUACCUGGAAAAGAAGCACCGGCUAACUACGUG